rnacentral:rRNA from 1 species
UACGUAGGGAGCGAGCGUUAUCCGGAUUUAUUGGGUGUAAAGGGUGCGUAGGCGGUUUGAUAAGUCUGUGGUUUAAUCCCGAAGCUUAACUUCGGUUCGCCACAGAAACUGUCUUACUUGAGUAUGGUAGAGGCAAGUGGAAUUUCUAGUGUAGCGGUUAAAUGCGUAGAUAUUAGAAGGAACACCGGUGGCGAAGGCGACUUGCUGGGCCAUCACUGACGCUGAGGCACGAAAGCGUGGGGAGC